rnacentral:rRNA from 1 species
AGAGCGAACGCUGGCGGCAGGCUUAACACAUGCAAGUCGAGCGGGCGUAGCAAUACGUCAGCGGCAGACGGGUGAGUAACGCGUGGGAACGUACCUUUUGGUUCGGAACAACCCAGGGAAACUUGGGCUAAUACCGGAUAAGCCCUUACGGGGAAAGAUUUAUCGCCGAAAGAUCGGCCCGCGUCUGAUUAGCUAGUUGGUGAGGUAAUGGCUCACCAAGGCGACGAUCAGUAGCUGGUCUGAGAGGAUGAUCAGCCACAUUGGGACUGAGACACGGCCCAAACUCCUACGGGAGGCAGCAGUGGGGAAUAUGGACAAUGGGCGCAAGCCUGAUCCGGCCAUGCCGCGUGAGUGAUGAAGGCCCUAGGGUUGUAAAGCUCUUUGUGCGGGAAGAUAAUGACGGUACCGCAAGAAUAAGCCCCGGCUAACUUCGCGCCAGCAGCCGC